AUGUAAAAUUUUAGUACUGAAUAUUCUUGCACGGGAUUUUGCUUGCUAUGGUGAAUUCAAGCUGUUUGACCCUAUAUUCACAGAUACAUAGGAAAAUAAUCACGUCAAUCUUUUCCCUUGUAACCUAUGUGGUGAAAAUAAAGAUGAAAACGGGAAACGAAUAGACAAUUAUUUAUGAAGUGUGAUAAGGAAAACAGUCUCAUUCACUAUAGUUUCAAUACUCAGAUCAUGAGAUGGAAACCAAUGUAAUUGAGACGAAAAGGGAGUACAACUCGAAAUAUCAAGAAAAAACAAGAAAGGCCAUUGUGAAUCAGCAGAUGAUGUCCUAUACAACCAUCCCUCCAUGACACAUGCAAUGGGAAGUUUAUUUCAGGAAACAAAGCCUGUCUGAAACUCCAAAAUGACAUUUCCAGAAAGCUGAAGAAUGGAUAAAAAUGUAUCUACCAUCUUACAACCCAGAUUUCAUUCCACUGAAAAGAAAAGGGACAGGAAAUUUUGCAUGUCCAUGUCUUGGAAGGUGAAUAGGUGGAAAGUCAAUAGAUGCUUACUAUAUCAGAUGCUUGCAGAGGAUACUGGGGAUAAAGUAGCAGAAAAUUAUGGAAAACAGGAAGUGGCAGCCAGGACUGACAUCAAUGCAAUAAACAAUGAGCUGAGGAGAUGGUGAUGGAACUAUAUAGGACACGUGCUGUGGAGGGAAGGUGACAAUGACAGUGAGAUGGCCUUAGGUUGGACACCAGAAGGGAAGAGGGCAUUUAAGAGACCGAAAACAACCUGGAGAGGAACAGUAGAAGCAGAAAGAAAGAUUGCAGAAUGAAGAAACUUGAAUGAGAUCAAGAUGGUAGCAAUAGAACAGAGUGGAUUGGAGAGAGUCUGGUCCUAUGUGUUUUGGCAUGGAGAGAACUAAGUAAUGUCUAGAUUAUUGGAGAUAGGAUGACCAGGAAUAUGAAUGGAUGUGCUGGAAACUGUACUAAGACCCUUAUGUAUUUGGAUAGAUUUACAUACGAUCAUGAUUUUGCUAUGAAAAACUUGAAAAAAAUUCUCAACUCAUAUUGUAGCUGACAUUGUACAUUUGUACUUAUUAAUAUUUCAAAUGAACAUAUUUUUAGACAUACAAUAUCUAAACUUUGGAGUCCACGUACAUCUCCACAUUGGAUAAUAGGUUAUGAUAUAUGUGUGUGAAAUCUUUUCCUAUGGUAUGCACAUGUUAACACAUUAGUUUAAAUGAUGAUGUAUAUCUUAUGACUAUGGAAGAGAAUGUGUUCAGAACAGAAUAUGUGUCUAGAAGAGUUGUUGCCCUUGAUUGUAAUUCAUUAUUUACAUGGGGUUGAAAAAUAAUCCAGCACACAGUAGUACUAAAUACAUUAUGUUAAAAUACAUUUAUGAAUGGUAUAAGUGAUACUGUUAAUUACUGAUUAAUACACUUUGUGAAAUCAUAUUAUUGUUAUGUUUAAUAAAUUUCAAGGCUGCACCUUUGUACAUUUUACAAUAUAAUAUUCUGCACUUUGGUAUCAAAUUCUCUUAACCUAAUUUAAGAGUUACAUAUUCAUUAACAGCAAGAUAAUUAUGAUAUGCUAUGUAGUUUGUCAAAGGACAUUAGCUGUGAAAGUGAUGGCAACUUUUUUAUUCAAAAUCUCUCAAUAAGGAUAUAUAUUAAUGCCUAAUAAUGAUAUUUAUUUUGUACAAAAACAUGAGAAACCUAAUAAAACGACAAUAGAUUGUCA